GCGGGGGUUCCCAAGUGGCCAAAGGGGCAGGACCGAGGCUCCUGUGUGCGUAAGCCUUCGAGGGUUCGAAUCCCUUCCCUCGCA
rfam:Candidatus Altiarchaeum sp. CG2_30_32_3053 cg_3.0_sub100_scaffold_525_c, whole genome shotgun sequence.